rnacentral:ncRNA from 1 species
GGUACCCCGGGGAUAACAGGCUGAUCUUCCCCAAGAGUUCACAUCGACGGGAAGGUUUGGCACCUCGAUGUCGGCCCAUCGCAUCCUGGGGCUGUAGAAGGUCCCAAGGGUUGGUCUGUUCGCCCAUUAAAGCGGUACGCGAGCUGGGUUCAGUACGUCGUGAGACAGUACGGUCCCUAUCCGCCGUAGGCGUUCGGACACUUGAGAGGAGCUGCUCCUAGUACGAGAGGACCGGAGUGGACAGACCGCUAGUGUACCUGUUGUCACGCCAGUGGCACCGCAGGGUAGCUAUGUCUGGAAAGGAUAACCGCUGAAAGCAUCUAAGCGGGAAGCCUGCCUCAAGAUGAGGUGUCCCUUUCGACCCCUGGUAGAACACCAGGUCGAUAGGCGGCAGGUGUAAGCGUAGUAAUACGUUCAGCCGAGCCGUACUAAUCGGUCGAUAGCCUUGACCUU